AGUAAAGUCAGCUAAUAAAGCUCUUGGGCUCAUGCCCCAAACAUGUGAAAUAAAAUUCACCUUUACUA
rnacentral:tRNA from 1 species